rnacentral:rRNA from 1 species
CCUUUGCCGGCGACCGGCGCACGGGUGAGUAACACGUAUGCAACCUGCCCUCUUCAGGGGGACAACCUUCCGAAAGGGAGGCUAAUCCCGCGUAUAUCGGUUUCGGGCAUCCGAAAUCGAGGAAAGAUUCAUCGGAAGAGGAUGGGCAUGCGGCGCAUUAGCUAGACGGCGGGGUAACGGCCCACCGUGGCGACGAUGCGUAGGGGUUCUGAGAGGAAGGUCCCCCACACUGGUACUGAGACACGGACCAGACUCCUACGGGAGGCAGCAG